rnacentral:rRNA from 1 species
UAGAGUUUGAUCCUGGCUCAGGACGAACGCUGGCGGCGUGCUUAACACAUGCAAGUCGAGCGGAAAGGCCCUUCGGGGUACUCGAGCGGCGAACGGGUGAGUAAUGCAUCGGAACAUGUCCAUGUCGUGGGGGAUAGCCCGGCGAAAGCCGGAUUAAUACCGCAUAAGCCCUUUGGGUGAAAGUGGGGGACUCGCAAGAGCCUCACGCGAUUGGAUGAGCCGAUGUCCGAUUAGCUAGUUGGCGGGGUAAUGGCCCACCAAGGCGACGAUCGGUAGCUGGUCUGAGAGGACGACCAGCCACACUGGAACUGAGACACGGCCCAGACUCCUACGGGAGGCAGCAGUGGGGAAUUUUGGACAAUGGACGCAAGUCUGAUCCAGCCAUGCCGCGUGCGGGAAGAAGGCCUUCGGGUUGUAAACCGCUUUUGUCAGGGAAGAAAAGUCUCGGGUUAAUACCUUGGGACGAUGACGGUACCUGAAGAAUAAGCACCGGCUAACUACGUGCCAGCAGCCGCGGUAGCCCAAUCGC